rnacentral:lncRNA from 1 species
GGGGGCAGAGAGAAAGCAGGAGAAAGCAGGAGCCUUUCUUCUUCAUCCCCCUUGGGGAGCUAAUUACAGGCCAGCAGCCCACUGCACAGGUGAGUGCCUGGGACAGCCACCCGCACACCAGGACAGGGCACCCAGCCUCUCCUGGGAAGGGGCUGAACUAGAGAUGGGGGAGGGUGCUAGGGGAGAGACACUUCCGACAUCCUCAUCUCAGGGCCCAUAAUUAGUCUGUGGGAUGAGAGCAAAACAACCAUCCUCAGGGUGACAGCCAGACAUUCAGGCGGCAUGGAGCGUGGGGUGGGGGCAGGGCAGGGAGGAGGGACAGAGGCUGGGGCCACAGGAACCCACUCAUCCACCCCACUAGCAUUUCUCCCCGGAACCUUGGUCUCCUCCUGCCUCCUGGACUCUGCCCCAGAGGGGCCCAGUGAAUCCAACAGACCGGGAGGCAAGGUUCUAUUUGCCAAGGGAGGGGUACCCGCCUGAGCUUAUUUCCUGCUUCACUUUGGGAGGAAAGCAGGAGAGGGGGCCAGGCCAGAGCAAAAGCGGAGAAGUUUCCCAUCAGGGCACCCUCGCCAGCCGCCUACCCACGAGCCCAUCGUCUGGCCCGGAGGCAGGGCCAGGGAGGGAGCUGCCAGAGCUGUUUGCCCAGACAGGCCUGUUGGGUGGGGCUGUCAACAAGGAGCAGGGAGAGGGCAGCCGUCUCAUGGGGUCUCACCCUGUGCUACCCUAUCUGCCAUAGGGUUCCCUGAUCUGCCCACCCCUCAAGAGUUCAGCCAACCACGUGUGGCAGCCCCCAGCCAGCAUUCCAGGGAAGACGAGUCUGAUCACAGGUGAGCCUUGGUGACCAACAGCCCAAGGACAUCACUGGGAUGCUCUGGAGGAGCUGGAGACAAGGUGUGGACCAUACGAUGAGGCCACAGAGGGCGAGGGCUCUCAGGAACCCCUGCUACCCCACAGCUAAGCCCAUACAUCCUCCGAGGAUCUCUGUCUUCUGUGGGGAUCAUCAUAUGGGGACGCAAUGAAGGAACUUAAAGAUCUACGA